GACAAUGAGAUCAUGGUUGGGAAGACGUGGAAAUUCCAAAGGUGUGUUCAUAUACAUAACCAAGUUCAAUAUUGAUAAAGCAAAGCACAGAUGGGAAGAGAUGAUUGAAUGGAGGAAGGGAUUUGAUGCUGACACUGUUAGUGAGGCGAAAUACUCUAAGAUGAGAGGGUCAAUGGAGGAGCAUUCACGGGUACUGACGGUUUCCAGUUCCUAUUCAAUCUAAUACCUGUAAG